CGCUGGCGGCGUGCCUAAUACAUGCAAGUCGAGCGCAGGAAGCAGACUGAAUCCUUCGGGAGGAUGUCUGUGGAAUGAGCGGCGGAUGGGUGAGUAUCACGUGGGUAACCUGCCUGUAAGCUUGGGAUAACUCCGGGAAACCGGUGCUAAUACCGAAUAAGAUUCUCGUUCGCAUGAACGAGAAAUAAAAGGCGGCUUUUGCUGUCACUUACAGAUGGACCCGCGUCGCAUUAGCUAGUUGGUGGGGUAAUGGCUCACCAAAGCAACGAUGCGUAGCCGACCUGAGAGGGUGAUCGGCCACACUGGGACUGAGACACGGCCCAGACUCCUACGGGAGGCAGCAGUAGGGAAUCUUCCGCAAUGGACGAAAGUCUGACGGAGCAACGCCGCGUGAGUGAUGAAGGUCUUCGGAUCGUAAAACUCUGUUAUUAGGGAAGAACAAAUGUGUAAGUAACUGUGCACGUCUUGACGGUACCUAAUCAGAAAGCCACGGCUAACUACGUGCCAGCCGCAGC
rnacentral:rRNA from 1 species